GAUGAACGCUAGCGGCAGGCCUAAUACAUGCAAGCCGGACGGCAAGUUGAGUAGCAAUACUUGACCUAGAGUGGCGUAAGGGUGCGUAACACGUAUGCAAUCUGUCCACAGCCGGGGUAUAGCCCUCCGAAAGGAGGAUUAACACCCCAUAGAAAAAUGGAAUGGCAUCAUUUUAUUUUUAAAACCACGGGGCUGUGGAUGAGCAUGCGCUUGAUUAGCUAGUUGGCGGGGUAAUGGCCCACCAAGGCGAUGAUCAAUAGGGGACCUGAGAGGGUGAUCCCCCACANUGGCACUGAGAUACGGGCCAGACUCCUACGGGAGGCAGCAGUAGGGAAUAUUGGACAAUGGGUGAGAGCCUGAUCCAGCCAUGCCGCGUGCAGGAAGAAGGCCUUCUGGGUUGUAAACUGCUUUUGACCGGGGGAUAAAANGAUCCUGCGGGGAGAAUUGAAGUACCCGGUG
rnacentral:rRNA from 1 species